UACCUGGAAGAUUUUUUUUAAAUGGUUGGAUGGAAAAAGAACUCAUUGCGCAUGUGCUGUAAGCUACGCGCAUCCAAAUACCACAAGCUAAUGGCUUUCAAAAACUCGCCGUCUAAUUUGAAAAAGCAUAUUGUGAAGACCAGCUCUCUUGAAAGGACCCAGCAGUUGGAUGUUUACCUGGGGUGCCCAGGAGACACAGUAGAGGUACUGAAGUCCUUCCCAGCUCUGUGCCAGCUAUCACUUAAGCUUAAUAUGGCAAUCCCUGCCUCAGCAGCCUGGGAAAGACUGUUUAGUGUUGCAGGGCUGAUCUUCAGGCCAAGAAGAGCAUGCAUUGUCUCAAAGAACUUUGAGAACCAGCUGCUUUUGCAGCUGAACAAAGCCUAUUGGUAACUCUUUGUCGCAUAUUCUUUGCUUAAAUGAUGUUGAUUACCCUGCUGUUGUUUAAGUCCAAUUUGUUUGUUUCAAUAAAGGUGAUUGAUGACA